AAGAGGCGUUUGUGGAGGGGAAUGGUCAGCAGCAAGAGAGACCUCCCAAAGAUCUCCGAGCAAGGUAGACGAGGAGGGACUGGAGCUUGCAGUUUGCCGGCAUGGAGUGCUACUUGCUGCUCUCAACAUGUACAGGGGCGAGAUUUCUGCAUAUCCUCUAUUCCUGCAAGAAAGGCUGGCCAGCAGACAAGCCACAUUUUUCUGCAUGGAUGUAACAUGUAAAUAUUGGCCAUACCUGCAAAAAGUAACAUAAAGCUGUCCAGAGCUCCAGCCCCUCCUCAACAUGAGGCCUUUCCUCUCAGUCUUUCAUGCAAAGGCUCAUUUGUUGGUUUGCUUAUGUGCAGAGGUGUCUCUUUGUGUAUUCUUCACCAGGAGAAAUAGAGCGGGGCAUAUCAGGAUGGUGCUGGUCUGACUUUAGGAGAGGAGGUAGAGCAGUGUAAUGCCUUCCUCUCCAGGAUUGCGGUGACCACCAAACAUAUGUCAAAAGCAGGUAAGAUGACACUGUUUAGGGAACAAGGAUUACUUCAUAAGUUCUAUGUUUGCAGGACAUGCAGACAUGCUGACCCUGAUGGCCAUGAGAUGGAAUCAACAAAAGUUUGAUAACUUGGCCACAGCACUCUGCCGAUAUCUGAAGACUGCCAAAUCUCUGGCAACAUAAUUUCAGGACUUAGAGGUCAUGAAAGCCCAUCUCACAGUGUCAGAGACCCAAAUGGAAGAGUGGGUCAGUGAUGUGAGAGAGUGGGCAAAAGUCCUCAUAAGACAUCGGACAUUCUGUCUCAUGGAAAGACAGCAGCAGAGAGGACUCCCCAUCUUUGUCCGGGAUGAUUCCACAACAUUUUCCCUCCAACGUUCAGACACUGAACCUAAAGACAGGGCUCUCAGCUGAGUGUCUGUUGCCAUCCUCACCAUCAUUGAAGAUGAUGAUGACGCGCCGAAUGUUAAAACUUCAGUAGAAGAACAUGCAGUCAUUUCAAGCAUUUAAGUCCCUUUUGUGAAAUCCUGUAAACAUCUGUUAAUCUGUGAGAUGCCAGUUAAAGAGGCUUUUGAAGAUGAAUGCAGUUUGGAUCUUUUUUUUUUCACUGUCAAGAGUGUUAUAAUAUGACAGCAUGUUUGAUUCUACUUGAGGCCAGAUCUCAGUGUUUAUAUUGACAUUUAAAUGUCACAAGGAAUAAAAAGUGUUCUGCUUAAUUUCAGAUGUGCUUUUUUGAUUUGUUUAUAGAAAGCAUUCCUUAAAU